rnacentral:misc_RNA from 1 species
GAUGAAGAACGCAGCGAAAUGCGAUAAGUAAUGUGAAUUGCAGAAUUCAGUGAAUCAUCGAAUCUUUGAACGCAUCUUGCGCUCCUUGGUAUUCUGAGGAGCAUGCCUGUUUGAGUGUCAUUAAAUUCUCAACUACACUGACUUUGAAUUGGUGUGGCUUGGAUUUGGGUGGGAAAAUUGUUGUGGGCUUUUUGUAUAGUCUGCUCCCCUGAAAUUGAUUAGCGGUACCUUUGUGGAACUGUCUACAGGUGUGAUAAUUAUCUACAUCCUAGACAUCUGCUGGAAUGUUGCUUUCUAAACCUUACUUGUAUUGACAAUCUUGACCUCAAAUCAGGUAGGACUACCCGCUGAACUUAAGCAUAUCAAUAAGCGGAGGA